UGACACUUCAGGGACAGGUGAAAAUCCUUACCGGCGGUAGAUAGCACAGCUAUAAGCCCGCAAGCGAAAGCAGAUCCGGUCAAACUCCGGAGCCGACAGUACAGUCUGGAUGAAAGAUAGUGUAU
rnacentral:ncRNA from 2 species